ensembl:lncRNA
CUCCCAGCCUGAUCCUCUAUUUACCCUUCCAGGAGCCAUUUUCAUCUUGGAACACUCAGCUGUGGUUUUUCUUGGUUUCUUUUGACAGUAGUUCCCAGUGUCCAUCUGUCAGCAGUGUUCCUCAUUUCUUUACAUGUCUACUAUGACCCUAUGUCUUAACUGAGGCUGACUUAUUCAUGCAAGUACAGCUGGUGCCCAACUAAGGAGAACCCAAGUGUCAUUACUCUGCUCAUUGCAAAAGUUCCAGACCUAGACCCCUUCACUCAUGAGCUUUUUUCUCCUCUUCAUCUUGUUUCUGGAUUCUUGCUUGACUCUUGGACCCAUAACUGAUUUGAUUUUUCUAGUUUUGAUCCCUAGCACUCUUUCUUAGACAUAUGCUAUAGACUAGCUCUCUGGAUCCCUCUGAUACCUAUAGUUAAAUAGUAACCACCAUAUGUAGCACCCCACAGGCCUGUCUCACCCUCCCUUCAACCCCAUGAUAGGGCUCUACAGCUCUUUCAGCGAACAUAGACAAAGCCUCUUAUGAAUGCUAAUUUCCAUUCCUCUGGGGAAGCUGCCCCUAGUAAGGGCAGGGAGGAGAGGAAUCAGAGCUGCCUCACAAGACUUUCUGCUGCUGUUUACUGAACCCGAGCCUACGCCCACUCUUGUCACAAUGAGACCUUAGAAUAUUUGAGAAUGUGCACCCAUAGGAUGCUGUGCAGAGUCCAUCACUCCCCUAUAUCCAGUGCAGAUGUGACGGCAACUUGACCAAACACCCAAAUUCUUUUUCAUUUUUCUUGCUUACACAAGGUGCUCAUCCAAAUUGGAUCACAGCAACAUCAUGGUUCCCGAGGUUGAUAGACUAAUUGAACUCUAAUGUUCAAGUUGGUCACCACUUAUAAUGAUGAUUUUAAAUAUUCCACUUAGAUAGUUCCAGUCACAAGGGCCUCCUUUCCAUUCCUCAAAUACAUGGUAAUAAGGCUUAUUGGACAUACUUGAUGUACUUUGGCUCACUUCUCCAUCCUCAUCUUUUGCCACUUCCUUUUUGAUUCCAGCCACUUAUUUCCAGCUGAACUUCUUUCAGUUCCUCAAAUGCUCUCACUGGGAUCCAGGAUUUCAACUUGUUUGCACUUCUGCCUAUCACUAUUUAGCCCCCAGCUCUUAUUCAUCCUUAUAACAAAGCCUUAUUAGCCCAAGUUUGGAUUGUAUGGUCCAUCUGUGUGCAUAUAUGGUGGCAAGCUUCAGGCUAUUGUGAUUUAAUGGGAAUUAAAACUACAUCUGUUUAGCACUUUCAAAAUGUUAUCCUGGUUACACUUGUUUACUUGAUGGUCUCCACCGUUAGAAUGCAAGCUUUGUGAGGUCAGAGGCUGUGUCACCAUGAAUCUAAACAUCACAUGAUUGGAGAAUAUUUCAUUUUUAUCUCACAUCGUCUCAGGUCAACGUGCCAGGUUAUUGGGCCAGUCACAAGACUCCGAGCUCACUCUAGAAAACUGCAGAACAGGGAACCCUGUGGUAGAAAUGCUGACGACGUGGACACACUAUGAUUUGCUGAGUUACUGCUCACAACUUGCAAUUUUGAAAAUUGUCUUCUGGAUUAAAAUUCCAUAUCCUAGCCCUCCCAUCUCUCUAUCUAUGCAUUAAAAGUCAUUUAAAAU